rnacentral:rRNA from 1 species
GGGCCCGCAUUCCCGGGGCGCCUCGUGGCAGUUCUCUGCUUUCGAGGCGCACUCUGAGCGCACACGUUGGGACCCGAAAGAUGGUGAACUAUGCCUGGCCAGGACGAAGUCAGGGGAAACCCUGAUGGAGGUCCGCAGCGAUUCUGACGUGCAAAUCGAUCGUCAGAGCUGGGUAUAGGGGCGAAAGACUAAUCGAACCAUCUAGUAGCUGGUUCCCUCCGAAGUUUCCCUCAGGAUAGCUGGCUCCCGUUUUGAAACGAGAGAGUCUCAUCCGGUAAAGCGAAUGAUUAGAGGCCUUGGGGCCGAAACGACCUCAACCUAUUCUCAAACUUUAAAUGGGUGAGAUCUCCGGCUUGCUUGACAGUGAAGCCGUGUGGGAUCAGGGUGCCCAGUGGGCCACUUUUGGUAAGCAGAACUG